GGAGAGGUGCCAGAGCGGCCGAAUGGGCCGGUCUCGAAAACCGGUGUGGGGCUUGCCCCACCGCGGGUUCGAAUCCCGCCCUCUCCG
rnacentral:tRNA from 1 species